GGGAGCUCUCCCAUAUGGUCGACCUGCAGGCGGCCGCGAAUUCACUAGUGAUUCGUAUUACCGCGGCUGCUGGCACGGAGUUAGCCGGGGCUUUCUUGGUCAGGUACCGUCAUUAUCUUCCCUGCUGAAAAGGGCUUUACAACCCUAAGGCCUUCAUCACCCACUCGGUAUUGCUGGAUCAGGCUUUCGCCCAUUGUCCAAUAUUCCCCACUGCUGCCUCCCGUAGGAGUCUGGGCCGUGUCUCAGUCCCAGUGUGGCUGAUCAUUCUCUCAAACCAGCUACAGAUCAUUGGCUUGGUAGGCCAUUACCCUACCAACUACCUAAUCUGGCGCGGGCUCAUCCAUCAGCGAUAAAUCUUUCCUCCAAAGAGAAUAUACGGUAUUAGCAAUUAUUUCUAAAUGUUAUUCCGUACUGAUGGGCAGAUUCCCACGUGUUACUCACCCGUCUGCCACUAAUUUAUUUAAAGCAAGCUCUAAAUAAAUCCGUUCGACUUGCAUGUGUUAAGCAUACCGAAAGCGUUCGUUCUGAGCCAUGAUCAAACUCUAAUCGAAUUCCCGCGGCCGCC
rnacentral:rRNA from 1 species